AGGCCCGUAGCUCCAAUUGGUAGAGCACUGGACUCCAAAUCCGGGGGUUGUCGGUUCGAAUCCGGCCGGGCCUG
rnacentral:tRNA from 1 species